UUUAUUCAGGUUCAGGGAUGAACUCUGGCGGCGUGCUUAAUACAUGCAAGUCGAGCGAAUGGAUUAAGAGCUCGCUCUUAUGAAGUUAGCGGCGGACGGGUGAGUAACACGUGGGUAACCUGCCCAUAAGACUGGGAUAACUCCGGGAAUCCGGGGUUAAUACCGGAUAACAUUUUGAACCGCAUGGUUCGAAAUUGAAAGGCGGCUUCGGCUGUCACUUAUGGAUGGACCCGCGUCGCAUUAGUUAGUUGGUGAGGUAACGGCUCACCAAGGCAACGAUGCGUAGCCGACGUGAGAGGGUGAUCGUCCACCCUGGGACUGAGACACGGCCCAGAUUCCUCCGGGAGGCAGCAGUAGGGAAUCUUCCGCAAUGGUCGAAAGUCUGACGGAGCAACGCCGCGUGAGUGAUGAAGGCUUUCGGGUCGUAAAACUCUGUUGUUAGGGAAGAACAAGUGCUAGUUGAAUAAGCUGGCACCUUGACGGUACCUAACCAGAAAGCCACGGCUAACUACGUGCCAGCACCCGCGGUAAUACGUAGGUGGCAAGCGUUAUCCGGAAUUAUUGGGCGUAAAGCGCGCGCAGGUGGUUUUUUAAGUCUGAUGUGAAAGCCCCCGGCUCAACCGUGGAGGGUCAUUGGAAACUGGGAGACUUGAGUGCAGAAGAGGAAAGUGGAAUUCCAUGUGUAGCGGUGAAAUGCGUAGAGAUAUGGAGGAACACCAGUGGCGAAGGCGACUUUCUGGUCUGUAACUGACACUGAGGCGCGAAAGCGUGGGGAGCAAACAGGAUUAGAUACCCUGGUAGUCCACGCCGUAAACGAUGAGUGCUAAGUGUUAGAGGGUUUCCGCCCUUUAGUGCUGAAGUUAACGCAUUAAGCUCUCCCGCCUGGAGUCCGCCGAAGGU
rnacentral:rRNA from 1 species